UGUGGGGAUGUGGGGAUAUGGAGACAUGGGGAUGUGAGGACAUGGAGACGUGGGGAUGUGGGGACGUGGGAACAUGGAGAUGUGGGGAUGUGGGGACAUGGAGACAUGGGGAUGUGGGGACUUGGGGACAUGGGGAUGUGGGGAUCUGGAGAUGUGGGGACAUGGGGACAUGGAGAUGUGGGGACAUGGGGAUGUGGGGAUGUGGGGACAUGGGGACAUGGGGAUGUGGGGACAUGGAAAUGUGGGGACAUGGAGAUGUGGAGAUGUGGGGACAUGGGGACGUGGAGAUGUGGGAACAUGGAGAUGUGGGGAUUUGCGGACGUGGGGAUGUUGAGAUGUGGGGACAUGAGGACGUGGAGAUGUGGGAAUGUGGGGACAUGGAGAUAUGGGGAUAUGGAGAUGUGGGAAUGUUGUGAUGUGGCGACAUGGGGAUGCGUCCCCUCUGGCCACUCACCCAUAGGUUUCUGUCCAAAGCAGCACAGUGUGGACCUGGCAGUGCGAGGGCAGCGCAGCAGACCCACAUCUGCAGCGCCCAGCGGCAGCCCUGCGUCCCUGCAUGGAGCAGCUGCAGUUCCCCAGGGCCGGCAGCAGGACGAGGGCAGCCCGCAGCUCCACACCAGGGAUUUCUUCCACUCCCAGCGCACCCUGACGCUUCCCCAGAGGAAAGGAACUCGGGACAGCUUGGAUCUCCUCACCGGGAAGAGAGCCGCCUCCAGGCUGGAGAAAAGCAGGCUGAAGGCCGGCUCCGAGCUGACCCUGCUGCCCCACGGCAAGUCACCCACGGCCAGCUGCGAGGUGUGGGACUGCAGCCACCACCAGGGCUCUUUCCUUUCGCCCCUCCUGAAGCGCGCUGCGUCCGCCAGGAGCGCCUGGAAGCGUCCCGCAUCCAUGGGCAGCACGGAGAGAGGGAAGGUGCUGCAGAAGAGAAAGGAGUGGGAGAUGAAGGCAGCGAUGUGAGCGGAGUGAUGCUGCGCCGCGCGGGGACCGAGCCGGGCUGCGGUGCUGGAGAGCUGCUAUGGGGCCGUGCUGGGGGGGCACACCGGCACCCCAAACCUUCUGUGGGGUCACAUCGGCACCCCAAACCUUCUGUGGGGUCACACCGGCACCCCAAACCUUCUGUGGGGUCACUGCUUCUCUGUGUUUUCGGUGUGGGUUUCCCAGUGGGGCGGAGAUGGUGGAAAUGGUCCCAAUGGUGCCCAGCUGUGCCCAACGGACCCCAAUAGAACCCAAUGGACCCCAGUGGUGCCCAGUAGAACCCAGUGGUGCCCAACAGACCCCCAAUGGUGCCCAACAGACCCCCAAUGGUGCCCAACAGAACCCAAUGGUGCCCAGCGGAUCCCAGUGGUGCCCAACGGACCCCAGUAGAACCCAAUGGACCCCAAUCGUGCCCAAUAGACUCCAGUGGUGCCCAAUGGAUCCCAAUGGUGCCCAACGGACCCCAAUGGUGCCCAGUAGAACCCAAUGGUGCCCAACGGACCCCAAUAGAACCCAACGGACCCCAGUGGUGCCCAAUAGAACCCAGUGGUGCCCAAU
rnacentral:lncRNA from 1 species